UACGUAGGGCGCGAGCGUUGUCCGGAAUUAUUGGGCGUAAAGAGCUCGUAGGCGGCCUGUUGCGUCCGCUGUGAAAUCCCGGGGCUUAACCCCGGGCCUGCAGUGGAUACGGGCAGGCUGGAGGCAGGCAGGGGAGAACGGAAUUCCUGGUGUAGCGGUGGAAUGCGCAGAUAUCAGGAGGAACACCGGUGGCGAAGGCGGGUCUCUGGGCCGAUACUGACGCUGAGAAGCGAAAGCGUGGGGAGCAAACAGG
rnacentral:rRNA from 1 species